GAUGAACGCUGGCGGCGUGCUUAACACAUGCAAGUCGGACGAAGCACUCUACUUGAUUUCCUUCGGGAUUGAUUGUUCUGUGACUGAGUGGCGGACGGGUGAGUAACGCGUGGAUAACCUGCCUCACACAGGGGGAUAACAGUUGGAAACGGCUGCUAAUACCGCAUAAGCGCACAGCACCGCAUGGUGCAGUGUGAAAAACUCCGGUGGUGUGAGAUGGAUCCGCGUCUGAUUAGCUGGUUGGCGGGGUAACGGCCCACCAAGGCGACGAUCAGUAGCCGGCCUGAGAGGGCGACCGGCCACAUUGGGACUGAGACACAGCCCAGACUCCUACGGGAGGCAGCAGUGGGGAAUAUUGCACAAUGGGGGAAACCCUGAUGCAGCGACGCCGCGUGAGCGAUGAAGUAUUUCGGUAUGUAAAGCUCUAUCAGCAGGGAAGAUAAUGACGGUACCUGACUAAGAAGCUCCGGCUAAAUACGUGCCAGCAGCCGCCGUAAGAC
rnacentral:rRNA from 1 species